GUGAAUCAUCAAAUUUUUGAACGCAAAUUGCACUCUCCGGUUUUCCGGGAGGGUAUGCCUUUUUGGGGGUCUGUUUAAAAAAUAAUCGAGGCUGCUGCUGUGGUGUCUCUUCGGAAUUGGGUCAUCUUUCACCUUUCGGUUGUAAGCGACCUAAAAUUUUUUUUACGAGUUCUACGAACGUGUCGAAGAAUUUCUUUAACGUUCACGACAUCGAAGUCAUUUUAGGGGUU
rnacentral:misc_RNA from 1 species